rnacentral:rRNA from 1 species
AUGAACGCUGGCGGCGUGCUUAACACAUGCCCGUCGAACGAAGCAUUUGCGACAGAUUUUUUCGGAAUGAAGUUGCUUAUGACUGAGUGGCGGACGGGUGAGUAACGCGUGGGUAACCUGCCUUGUACUGGGGGAUAGCAGCUGGAAACGGCUGGUAAUACCGCAUAAGCGCACAAUGUUGCAUGACAUGGUGUGAAAAACUCCGGUGGUAUAAGAUGGACCCGCGUCUGAUUAGCUAAUUGGUGAGAUAACAGCCCACCAAGGCGACGAUCAGUAGCCGACCUGAGAGGGUGACCGGCCACAUUGGGACUGAGACACGGCCCAGACUCCUACGGGAGGCAGCAGUGGGGAAUAUUGCACAAUGGAGGAAACUCUGAUGCAGCGACGCCGCGUGAGUGAAGAAGUAAUUCGUUAUGUAAAGCUCUAUCAGCAGGGAAGAUAGUGACGGUACCUGACUAAGAAGCUCCGGCUAAAUACGUG